rnacentral:rRNA from 1 species
AAGGCGCUUGCUUCGCUGAUGAUGCUCAUCUCCUGGGAGAUUUGGUCGGAGCGCAAUGCUAGAAUCUUCCGCAACACGGCCUCUCCUUCGGUGGUCCUUAUUAACAAGAUUAAAGAGGAGUUGUCUCUUUGGGCUUUGGCGGGCGCCAAGCAUUUGAGUAUUGUAAUGGCGCGAGAGUAG